rnacentral:tRNA from 1 species
GGAGAGAUGGCCGAGCGGUUGAAGGCUCUAGUCUUGAAAACUAGCGUGGUUUUACGAUCACCAAGGGUUCGAAUCCCUUUCUCUCCG